rnacentral:lncRNA from 1 species
AGGGAAAGCACCAUGAGAAGAUGACGGCAGAGAUCUGGGCGACGCGUCUACAAGCCAAGCGACACCAAAGGUGGCCAGCAGCCCAUGUGAAGCUGGAGGAGAGGCCUCGAAUAAAUGCUCCCUUACAGCGUUCAGGGGGAACUGACCCUGUCCACACCUUGACCUUGAACUUCUGGGCUCCAGAACUGUGAGACAGCAUGUUCUGUUGUUGAAGAUACAACGGUGGAAUAAAAUAUCUUCCAGCCAACAUAUUUUUUGGAGACGGAAUCUCACUCUGUCACCUGGUUGAAGUGCAGCAGCGCGAUCAUGGCUCACUGCAACCUCUGCCUCCCGGUUUCAAGUGAUUCUCCUGCCUCCGCCUCCCGAGUAGCUGGGAUUACAGGCAUGUGCCACCCACCACGCCUGGGUAAUUUUUGUAUUUUUACUAGAGACAGGGUUUCACUAUGUGGGCUGGGCUGGUCUCAAACUCCUGACCUCUGGUGAUCUGCCCACUUCGGCCUCUCAAAGUGCUGGGAUUACAGGCAUGAGCCCCCGCACCCGGUUGCAACCAACUUUUUUGUGGAAUAUAGGAUCUUGAUGUUUGGAUGCCUGAAGGCAGAAGCUGUUGCACAUGGAAUGGAUUAAAGUUUUCCCCUCUGCAACCAAAAAUCCUUGGGGUCCCAGGAGCAAAAGAUGCUCCAUGGCACAGGACAAUUCAAGAAGGCCCGAGGUGAUAUUGAAGACUGCAGAGACAUCCAGCUCAGUUGUGUCUCCGGAGGUGUCCAGACUUUGCAGACAGACGUUGCACAUAAAGAGCUGAAAAACUGAGGAAGCUGAGCUGGAGAAGGAAGUCACUUCUACUCAGACUUGACCUGCGUCUGAUGCUAUGGGGCCUCUUAGGGUUACCUCAUGCUUCAUGCACCCCUUUCUCUGUUCUUCAGCAGAAGGCAGGGUGUAGGGAAGCGGGACUGUGCCUCCUUUCUCCCUGCCAGGCCUGACUCUCCAGGCCAAGAGACACCAUUAAGGAGUAUAAUUUGUUGAUCCAGGCUCUCCUUGCGUUUCAGUGCAGAGUGGCAUCGUUUUCUUUAUGACCUCGUAAAGUCACAGCCGAGAGGCCGAUUUGGAAAACAAACUGCCUCAGGUUGACAGAUAAUUAGAUACAGGGGACAUAUUAUAUGCCUUUGCAUAUAAAUGUGCUCCGAGGCGUGUUGGUUCAUCUGAAGUUGAGGUUAAAGGCGCGCCAGCAGGAUCUUGGCAGUGGACUGCCACGGGAGCUCUGGGGAAAAAGGACCAGUUGGACUCCAGUACCUCCUGAGAGACCACCACCCUCCAUGCCUCCAGCUCAUGCCCAGCUCUGAGUCAGACGGACUCUUCCUGUUGUACUGCGAGGUUCUGCAAACCUUGAAGGGCAAACACAGUGAGGGUCUCUGACUUGCUGUGUGGACAGCCCACUCUCUGACAGCCCAGAUCAUCUGAAGCUAUCCCUGGGCUGGGAGCUGGAAGCCAUUCUUGUGAACCACUCCUUAUACCUUGAGCGAAGCCUCUUUGGGUCCCAGAAGUCUGAAGCUCCAGCUGCCUGGCAAGACUGAGUCUAGAUGAUUUCUUGGGUACCAGUAGUUUGGCAUUUAAAAAUACUGGAUUAACUGCAGUGUAAACUUAGAUUGCAUUUCAGAUUGUAAACAAUAACCCCCGUGCUUCAUGUGAUGUUAAAUCAGAAAUGAGCUAUUAGCCAAGCUAGUCCUCUUAUGAAUGAGCCCCUAACCCUGAUCCAGGGAUCGUUGAAUGAAAAUCAUCAAAAUGAUUUAUCUUCACUUUACCUAUUGUCUCACAAGAAUCUCAUCACUCAGGGAAAAGGAGGGUGUUCUUCAGGGAACGGAGGGCAUGAGGAAGGGGGAUUUCCUUAUAUCUCAACUUUCAGAGGGAGCUGAGUUGUAAACAGAUGGAACAAGGUGUGUACGAGAAGCCUCUUAGAUUUAGUCUUUCAUAUCAAGGCUCUUGCUGAAAAUCCUGGCACAGCUGUGAAAUGAGGGGAGCUCUGACACACAGAGACACGCUCCUUGCCUCACCAACCUUCCCAUACACAGUCAUGCGCACAGAGAGCAGGUACCAAUACUGAAAAUGCCCUUCCGGAGUUUCCUCAGCUUAAACCCUUGACAGCAUUAAGUGAGGAAGGAGUUUCCUUGACCUGGGGAAGAAGAACCAACUCAUAAACAUGGAACUGUGCCCACUGCCUUUUCCUUUGCUCUGUGGAUUGGCUGUGGUUCUGCCCUGGCACUCGGAUGUCAAGUUGCUCUGGCUGUUUGGGAGGAAGCCCAGCCUGGGUCAGGUGGUCAUAAGCCAGAGGCCCUGUCCUGUCCCCAGGGUUGGCCUCCCUCUGGGGUCCAGCAUGGCCCCAGUGCUGAGGCUCCCACUGCUGGGGAAUGUGCCCUCUCCUCUCUUUGUUUCCAUACCAAGGGGAUCUGCAGGGUAGAGGGCAAAUUAUUCUUAGCAGAUUGGGGCUAUGGGUAAACCAGAAGGGAUGAGGGAGAGAGGAGAGAGGAGAGGAAAGGGAAGGAGAGGGGAGGGCAGGGGAUAGGUAGAGGAGAGAGACAGCAAGAAAAAAUAG